AGCUCAGUUGGUAGAGCAGAGGACUGAA
rnacentral:tRNA from 1 species